AGAUUGAACGCUGGCGGCAGGCCUAACACAUGCAAGUCGAGCGGAUGAAGAGAGCUUGCUCUCUGAUUCAGCGGCGGACGGGUGAGUAAUGCCUAGGAAUCUGCCUGGUAGUGGGGGACAACGUUUCGAAAGGAACGCUAAUACCGCAUACGUCCUACGGGAGAAAGCAGGGGACCUUCGGGCCUUGCGCUAUCAGAUGAGCCUAGGUCGGAUUAGCUAGUUGGUGGGGUAAUGGCUCACCAAGGCGACGAUCCGUAAC
rnacentral:rRNA from 1 species